rnacentral:lncRNA from 7 species
AUGGGCUGAGGCCAGCAGAGGUUGUGCUCCUGCCUCUGGCACUGCACUGCUGACAGCAAUGCUGUGUGUGCCAACGAGCCCGCAAGGCCAGCGCCCACAGCAGCCCUGUGCUCACGUGCUGUGUGUUGUGCUUAUGGUGGUGACGUCCCGCAGCGGGGACACGAGCCAUGCAAAUCUGCAGUGUGACACGCAGCUCCUCUCGGGACCGGGAGCUGACAGUGAUUUCUUUGUCAUUCCCCUGUUGUCAUCUUCCCCACUGCACGUACAUUUGGUCAUCAUUAGUGAGAUGCUGCUGAUGACUAAAGCCUGGGUCUGCAUCACAGGCAGUCUGCUUGAAGGAGCAAUCCAGACCUGCGGGGCUCAGCUGUGGAAUUUGCCAGCACAUCCCAAAUUGUGUACUUCUGAAAUGGAGAAGCGACAUACCUGCGUGGGGGAGAGAGUGAGCGGCUUUUGCUUCGUUCAGUCUGGCUCUCCCCUCCCUUCUCCCCGCAUCCCCAUGUGUUACAAAGCCAGCUGCUCCCAGAAUAGGUUGGGAAUGAAAUGUCACCGUUUGAAACUGGAGGAUGGCAAAACCCGCUGCAAACUCGAGCUGUCUGCUGGAACACAGCCGCUGCAGCCGCAUCCCAGCGCCUUCCCGACAGGACUGGGUCGUAUCUGACAGCGCACCUACAGUGACUCUCUUAAUUAAGUCUCCCUGCACCGCUGUGAGCAAGCUGGUGGCUGCGGAGAAGACAUGCCACUCAUCUUACAGCCUCUGCUUCGGCCUUACUGACCCCCAGCCAAAGGGCAGGUGGAAGCUGGAAGCAGCAAUACCAUGAACAGUCGCAUGGUGGGUUGCAGUCCUCCUGAGUCCCCAUUCAGUGGGUUCUGAAUACGUGCUGUGAGCAAAGCUCCCCAGUUACAGGCUGGGCGACACAGCCCCUUGGAGGGGAUUUUGUGAGAGUAAACCCUGUGGGAUUUGGUG